UCAUUAUGAUUUUAUGGCGGAUUGUAGCUGGCCCCAACCGGGCAUGUGCACAUUCUGUUCAUUCCAUUCUCAUACACCUCUGUGCACUUUACAUAGGUUUGGUAUAGAAAAGGUCUUUAUUGACUUUGGAAAUACUGACCUAUGCUUUUAUAAACGCUUCAGUUUUAGAAUGUCAUCCGCGUAUAACGCAAUAAAUACAACUUUCAGCAACGGAUCUCUUGGCUCUCGCAUCGAUGAAGAACGCAGCGAAAUGCGAUAAGUAAUGUGAAUUGCAGAAUUCAGUGAAUCAUCGAAUCUUUGAACGCAUCUUGCGCCCUUUGGUAUUCCGAAGGGCAUGCCUGUUUGAGUGUCAUGGUAUUCUCAAUACCCCAAAUCUUUGCGGAUAAGGGUGUGUUGGACUUGGAGGUUUUUGCAGGUAAUGAUUGUGUUACCAGCUCCUCUUAAAUGCAUUAGCAGAGAUAAUACUGCUACUCUCCAGUGUGAUAAUUGUCUACACUGUUAGUAGUGCGGUAUAACAAAAUGUCUAUGCUUCUAAUCGUCUUCGGACAACUUUUGACAAUCUGACCUCAAAUCAGGUAGGACUACCCGCUGAACUUAAGCAUAUCAAUUAAGCGGAGGA
rnacentral:rRNA from 1 species